AUGCUCUUUGCCACAUACUGCAUUACACGAGGAUAGAUUGCUGGGUCUGUUCAUGGUCGAGCCAUGUGAGUGCACAUUAGACCGUAAGUAAACCCUCUCGGAGGACGCUGCUACACCCAGCACAAGCAAGCCAUUAGACAGAGCUCUCUGCUAAUAUUUCAAAUGAAAAGCUUUUAUGUCAUGGAGAUAACACACAGCCUUAUUAAGCAGGCGCCUUGGGC